rnacentral:rRNA from 1 species
AGUGAACGCUGGCGGUAGGCCUAACACAUGCAAGUCGAACGGCAGCACAGUAAUAGCUUGCUCGUCCGGGUGGCGAGUGGCGGACGGGUGAGGAAUACAUCGGAAUCUACUUUUUCGUGGGGGAUAACGUAGGGAAACUUACGCUAAUACCGCAUACGACCUACGGGUGAAAGCAGGGGAUCUUCGGACCUUGCGCGAUUGAAUGAGCCGAUGUCGGAUUAGCUAGUUGGCGGGGUAAAGGCCCACCAAGGCGACGAUCCGUAGCUGGUCUGAGAGGAUGACCAGCCACACUGGAACUGAGACACGGCCCAGACUCCUACGGGAGGCAGCAGUGGGGAAUAUUGGACAAUGGGCGCAAGCCUGAUCCAGCAAUACCGCGUGGGUGAAGAAGGCCUUCGGGUUGUAAAGCCCUUUUGUUGGGAAAGAAAAGCAGCAGGUUAAUACCCCGCUGUUCUGACGGUACCCAAAGAAUAAGCACCGGCUAACUUCGUG